rnacentral:misc_RNA from 1 species
AAGACUAUAGACCUGCGGAGUACCUGCGGAGGGAUCAUUCAAGGAUUCAACUAUGAAAAGGAAGUAGAGGGAAAGCAAGGUAUUUGCUUAGCCCGAAGCUCCUUUUUGUAUUUUUUUACACCUAACCAACCUUUUUUGUGGGGAACAAUGGCUUUUGGCAGCGUAUUGGUGUUAUCCACAUACUGCUAUGGUCAUGACCCACUCAACAAUUGGCUGAUAAAAACAGCAGUGUUGACUUUA